GACGAACGCUGGCGGCGUGCUUAACACAUGCAAGUCGAACGGUAAGGCCCUUUCGGGGGUACACGAGUGGCGAACGGGUGCGUAACACGUGCGUAACCUGCCCACAACUUUGGGAUAACGCUAGGAAACUGGUGCUAAUACUGGACAUGUGCUCCUGCUGCAUGGUGGGGGUUGGAAAGCUCCGGCGGUUGUGGAUGGACUCGCGGGCUAUUUGCUUGUUGGUGGGGUAGUGGCCUACCCAGGCGGCGACGGGCGGCCGGCCUGUGGGGGUGACCGGCCACAUUGGGACUGGGGUACGGCCCCGGCCCCCACCGGGGGCAACAGGGGGGAAUAAUGCCCCAGUGGCGCCAGCCCGAUUCAGCAACGCCGCGGUCGGGAUGACGGCCUUCGGGUUGUAAACCGCUUUCAGCAGGGACGAAGCUUUUUGUGACGGUACCUGCAGAAGAAGCACCGGCUAACUACGUG
rnacentral:rRNA from 1 species